rnacentral:rRNA from 1 species
GGAAUCUUGCGCAAUGGGCGAAAGCCUGACGCAGCGACGCCGCGGGAGGGAUGAAGCUUCUCGGAGUGUAAACCUCUUUCGACCCGGACGAAUACCCGCCAGGGUUUGACGGUACGGGGAGAAGCAGCCCCGGGUAACUACGUGCCCGCAGCCGCGGUAAAACGUAGGGGGCCAGCGUUGCUCGGAAUUACUGGGCGUAAAGGGUCUGUAGGCGGUGCGGUAAGUCCGGAGUGAGAUCUCCAGGCUCAACUUGGAGGCUGCUUCGGAAACUGCUGUGCUCGAGUGUGGGAGAGGCGCGUGGAAUUGCAGGUGUAGCGGUGAAAUGCGUAGAUAUCUGCAGGAACACCAGUGGCGAAAGCGGCGCGCUGGACCACAACUGACGCUGAGAGACGAAAGCUAGGGGAGCAAAC